CGGCGGACGGGUGAGUAACACGUGGAUAACCUACCUAUAAGACUGGGAUAACUUCGGGAAACCGUAGCUAAUACCGGAUAAUAUUUUGAACCGCAUGGUUCAAAAGUAAAAGACGGUCUUGCUGUCACUUAUAGAUGGAUCCGCGCUGCAUUAGCUAGUUGGUAAGGUAACGGCUUACCAAGGCAACGAUGCAUAGCCGACCUGAGAGGGUGAUCGGCCACACUGGAACUGAGACACGGUCCAG
rnacentral:rRNA from 1 species